UCCCUGGCGGUCCAGUGGUUAGGACUCUGAACUUCCACUGCAGAAGACAGGGGUUUGAUUCCUGGUCAGGGAA
rnacentral:tRNA from 1 species